GCACCAAUGGUGAAAUGGAUAUCACAAAGGUCUUCGGAACCUUUAUUUGGGGUUCGAGUCCCUAUUGGUGCACCA
rnacentral:tRNA from 1 species